GAAAUGCGAUAAGUAAUGUGAAUUGCAGAAUUCAGUGAAUCAUCUAAUCUUUGAACGCACCUUGCGCUCCUUGGUAUUCCGAGGAGCAUGCCUGUUUGAGUGUCAUGGAAUUCUCAACUCUAUUUGCUUUUGUGAAUAGAGCUUGGAUUUGGAGGUUUAUUGCUGGUACUUGUGAUCGGCUCCUCUUGAAUGCAUUAGCUCGAACCUUUGCGGAUCAGCUAUCGGUGUGAUAAUUGUCUACGCCGUUGCAGUGAAGCAUAUCAAUGGGCUCGGCUUCCAAUCGUCCUUUACUGGACAAUGACUUUGACCUUUGACCUCAAAUCAGGUAGGAUUACCCGCUGAACUUCAGC
rnacentral:misc_RNA from 1 species